GACGAACCGUGCGAACGUUAUUCGGAAUCACUGGGCUUAAAGCGCGUGUAGGCGGGACGGCACGUCGGUCGCUGAAAUCCCCCGGCUUAACCGGGGAACGGGCGUCGAUACGACCGUCCUGGAGGGCGUAGGGGGAUCUGGAACUUCCGGUGGAGCGGUGAAAUGCGUUGAGAUCGGAAGGAACGCCCGUGGCGAAAGCGAGGUCCUGGACGCCUACUGACGCUGAGACGCGAA
rnacentral:rRNA from 1 species